rnacentral:rRNA from 1 species
UGCCAGCAGCCGCGGUAAUACGAAGGGUGCUAGCGUUGUUCGGAAUUACUGGGCGUAAAGAGCAUGUAGGCGGAUGAAUUAGUCAGAGGUGAAAGCCCCGAGCUCAACUUGGGAACUGCCUUUGAUACUGUUUAUCUAGAGUCCGAGAGAGGUUAGUGGAAUUCCCAGUGUAGAGGUGAAAUUCGUAGAUAUCAGAAGGAACAUCGGAGGCGAAGGCGGCUUGCUGGACAGACACUGACGCUGAGGCGCGAAAGCUAGGGGAGCAAACGGGAUUAGAUA